GGGAAUGAUUGAGUAGCUGGUGCUCUUCACGGCCUUCAAAGCCGAUGUCUUCACUAAUAAUGAAGAGCUGGGUUCGAUUCCCAGGCAUUCCCG
rnacentral:tRNA from 1 species